AGAGAGAAAAAAACACCGAAAAACAAAAACCCACCUCCCCCUCAAUAAGCCGGGACGAGCCUGUGCUGUCUAUCGAAGGGAGCCCUGCGAAGUUGUGUGUGCCGGGCCGCCGACCUGAAGGACUUUUCCGGGGAGAGGAAGGGAAGCAGAGAGGGAAGCUCUUUUAUUUCACCGCUUGUUUUGAUGGCAGCUCCCGGGAGGCUGCGAUUUUCUGCCGCCUCGUUGGUGCCCCUACAUCCCGGCUCGGGAGGGACUUCGCCGCCGCUCGCAAGAACCGCUCGCUCCACUCCGGGAAGGAGCGGGGGUCCGUGGGGUCGAGGCAGCGGCGGGCGGAGAGCGUGGAUCCACGGAGGGAGAAAGGGGGGGGAGAAGAGGAGAGAGGGGCAGGGGAUGGAGGAUCCACGGCGUUCGCCCGGCCCGGUAUUAUGAUCAUUAUUUUCACGAGGUUUUAAUUGAUUUUUUUUUUUUUUGGUCAUUCUGCAGUGGUAAGGGCUGACAGUACAGAAUAGCUGCCGUCUUUACAAACGUGUGUGUCCUCCUGCUUCCUUUCCUCUCUUUCUCUCUUUCUUCCCUCCUCUCUCCCUUCUGCCCCGAUUUCCCGAGAUAAAUGAAUGCGCAUUUGAUGGGUGUGUAAGAUGUGGCCCAUUCGGCUCCCGUAACUCAAUCCUGUUGAUGCAAUGUGUGCUGAACCGGUUGUGCUCAGCGACAUGUGGGCAAGGGACUUUUUUUUUUUUUUUCUUUAACGGUUUGGAUUGGCUUAAGAAGCCGAGGGGGGGGGAGGAGGAUUUUAUGGCUGCUCCCAAGCAGCGCCGCAGCUCCCAAGUUAAACUUUUGUGCACCCCCCCCCCCUUCCGCCUCCCCCCUCAUCGCUUCACACACAUACAUUUCGUCCUGCGGGAACACAGCCGCUGCGGGAGGAAAGCACGAGAGUGAAGACCCUUACAAAGAAAUUUUGCUGUUGAAACACCCUGCCCAAGACAGGAAGGUUCGCCCAUACUCCAUCUACAUGUUCUUUUCAUUAGAUGAAACAGUAAGAUGGGCAAAAGAAGGUGUUCCUUCCCACAGCCUCCUAGGACUGCUACAAGAUGCACGAGACAACUGACAAGAGAUAAGAAUAGAGACUCCUCACACACUGUUGCUAUCUUAACACUUAGCCAAGAGUAGCACUGUGGACCAGAUCCAGCAGGAAAAUCAGGUGCUGAAGUCCUGGGGCACUGUGCAUUUGAAAGCUUCACGUAGGAAAAGAAGUUAGAGCCUGAAACACUCAGAACCCAGGUAAAAUUCAGAGACUUGAGAACAACACUGCAGCUGGUUGCACCAGGAUAAAAAGCACUGUCACCAGAUUCUGUCAGAGAGUUUUAAUGUUGGCUCUGAUCUGAGAAGUGUGAUCUGAAAGAAGCAUCUUGGUGCCAGCCCCCAGGUGAGGGGGAUGGACUGCUCUCCUCUGCAAAGGUCUUGGUGGAAGGAAGGCCUGAGGAAGGAGGAAGGUAAGGAGGAGAUCUGCCGUGCCCUGACAAACAUGACUUCUCCAUCUGAAUGGUAGCAAGUACCCCAGGAAUACUCAGGUUGAACAUAGAUAAACUUUAUCUUGCUUCAGUCUCUGCUAUUCCAGACUUCAUGUCCACUUCUGCAUUGAUGAUGAAUAUAUGGCUUGCUGUACAAAAGACAGAAAUCAAUAAUGCUGAGGUUUCGUAACCAGACUCUGCCUUCCCCUAUGCUUCUACAAAGAAAGAAAAAAGGAAAAACAAGAAAAAGCCCCACAAUUCAAUAGUGAGGUAAGACUUGUCUUAUCCACUUAUAAAUGAUGAAACCCAAGUAUAUUCCAGAAAAAUGGCUUCAGAAGACACCACUCAAUACAUAAAGAGCUACACGAGUAAAUUUUAAAUGUGGAAGUACCAGAUCUCAAAGCUUGGAAUUUAAAACUGCAAAGUGCACAGAAAUAAAACCCUUAUGGAGAUGCUGAAAUGUCUAAUUCAUUAUUAUUUAAAAAAAGAUUAAAAAAUAAUUUCUUAACAUUAAAGUGCAAUCAAGCACUGAAGAAAUUAUUUAAACUUUCCAUAGGAAAAAAACACACUCUAAAAUGCUGUGAGGGUAUUGAUGGCUAUUAAAUAUUUACCUUUCUCUCUAGCUCACACUACAAAGAGUAAUUUGUAUUUGGCAGAAACUGGCUGCAAUUACAUUAGUCAAUCCAAAAGCCCAACUUGCUCAUACAAAAUGCAAACAAAUUAGUUAAAAUGGUCUAAUUAGCAGACUGUAAAAAUGCAAAGCAAGGCUGGCAUAAAAAUGUGUGCUAGACAAGUACAUUUUUACAAAAUAAAUAGAAAGGUAAAUAUGAAAUAGUCCACUAAAUCCUAACCAAAGGACCAAAGUGUAAAACAACAUUUAGGGAUUGCAAACUUCAAAGAAAACUUUCCACAAACUGUUAAAUAUGUUCUUGCGACCCACAUUUGAUCAUGAAAAUAUGAUUGCUACCAUAGCUGAAAUUCUACCGGGAUUUCAGUUCAGUGCUGUGGAGCUGUGUGAGGCCAAGUUAUAUAUUCAUUUCAUGCGGGUAUGCACACAAACACAACUCCCAGCGAAGCUAAUUGGAGUGCAAUUGAAGAAUGCAAGGAAUAUAGGAUGUGGCCUAUGGAAGGAAGGUCAAGCCAUUUCUUAACAUGUUGUGUAUUUGUUUUUCUUUCCACAAUUUAAAUAAAUAAUUGGAAGUAAAUGAAAACAUGGAAACAGUUAAGGUAAAUGAUAAUACACCUUUGUUCUUACAGGAAGUAUGAACUAUGUGUAUUUUCUACGAGGACUAAACGUACUGUUUAAAAAGAGUAACUACAAUAACUCUAUUAUUACUGUCACUGAUAUAUUAGACUAAGACAGGCUUUAGUAUCUCUUUAGUAUUGUUGCAAUUACAUAAUCUGUGGGUUUCUAACUCCUUUAGUUUAGAUACUAUAGACAUAAUAGCCCAUUAUGAUUCCUAGGCUAUCUUAUAAAAGAGGCUAUUGUGAAGUGUUGAUCUGAAUUUGCCUCCAUAUUCUUCUCACCUCCCCACAUAUUCUUCUGUCCUUCAAAAUGUCUAGCUGUCUAGAGCCACAUUCUUCCUUCUUGACACUUAACAGAUGGCAGAAGGCGGGUGACUUCGGCAAAAUUAAUUAGAGAUGCAUUGAAACAAAAAUAACCAUGAACACCCUCCAGCAAAAGUAUGAUGUUAUUUGGUACAAAGAACUUUUGUGUGUAAGUGUUGCAACAACAGAAAUAUCCUUGAAGAAUAAUUUGCCUCACAGGAAACAAUCAUUGGCAAAAGAAGCAUGGCCACAAGGUUUGGUCAUUAUCACCGUUACGACCUCUCUAACACAUAGCAGCUGACUCACUCAGCUACUUUCACUGAAAUAGCUGACUUCAGGUUCUUCACUCCUCCAUACUGUCCCUGGCUGCACUGAAUGCCUCACUGUGCUGAGUAUCUUCAGUCCACAACUCUUACAGAAUUAAUUUGGUGCAAAACAUCUCUGUUGAGUUCAGUGUCAUUGAAGUAGUAAGAUAUAUUUGAAUAUAUAAAAAAAUUCAGAGGAGGUAUAAGAAAUGUGGAUAUUCUACUGUGAAGAUCAAGGAGUUAGGUCCUGUUAUCUGUUAUUUGAGUUAGUACUUAGCAAAUUACUUGGAGAAUGGUGAAAAUAUGAACCACGGAAAUCAUGUGUUCCACUUUCUCACCCACCACCAUAUAUUCCCACCUCACAAAAAUACUCCAGCUACUGAGACUCUCAGAUGCAACACAGCUUCUUGAUGAUGACUGAUAAAACAAGUACAUUGGAUAUGUGAAGAAGAAAAGGAAUUUCUGGAAUACAAAAGCCAGUUAAGAGGAUGUAGGCUUGAGGUACAUCAAAAGAUGGGUGGGUAAUAAGUUCCAUCAUGGUGCCUUGCCAUGAGUGGCUCCACAAAUGUCAUUGGUUCAGUGAUUACUCCAAAUUUCUUACAAUCAUACUGUCACACAUGAAGUACUGUGUUUGCUUCUUCUUUGCAGGAGUCAUAGGACCAAAGAGCAUGAUAUUCCAGGAUAAUUAUUUCAGUAUUCAGUGUGCUGUGUUUUGCUGCUAUUUCCUAUAUAGGCAGCCUCAGAAAGCCCAGAUGAGUUAAUCAGCUUCCUGCCUGGUGCACAGGUUUAUUCAUUCUCUGUAAAUGCUGACAGCUCUGUUAUCCCUUACUUGCCAAAUGUUAGGAAGGAUCUAAAUACCAUAACUCUCAAAGUUUUCUCCCCAAAGCUAUUCAGUCUCAGCAUGCAAUUCACCAGAGAUACAGAUAAGCCUGAAAAGUGUAGUUCAGUCUGGUACACCUCAACCCACUUAGGCAUCUCUCCCCCCCUCAUCAUGAAGACCAAAUCAUCUGUCUUAACAGCUCAACAGGAGAUGGAACAUUGUCCCUACUGUUUACUUGUGCUGGGAAUACAUGCAGUAUCUACCAGUAAAUCAGCUUCAUAUAAAUCAGUCUACUUCAGCUGAAAGCUUGAUUCCAACUCUACUUUCUUCACUGGAGAGAAUUACACUAAUUUCAGUCUUUGGCUCACAUAUAGAUUGCAUCUGGUUGGCUCUACUUCCAGAGAAGUAGCUAUGGAUAGGGUUAGGAGAGAAAUAAUAUAUAUGCAGUUAUUCUAGCUCUGCAUAGGGAGAUGUGAGUAGUGAAGAAAGGGUUGAGACACUGUAGAAAAGCUGAACAGAAUAAGAUAUUGGGGGAGACAGUUGAUGUAUGAGAAAAUAAACACAACACAGAGAGGGGAAGUGAUAGAAAACAGAAACAGAAACGUAGAAGAGCUGUAUCAAGAAAUAAUGUGGAAGGAAGGAAAAAGAAGAGACAAAUUGCAAGGAAGACUAAAUGCAUAUUUCAUCACCUAAAACAAUGUUUGUAACUGCAACAUGACAGUACAUAUCAGGUUUGAUUUUAUAGAUAAACAUGAAAUGUUCACACUUGGGAAAAGCAUGAGGGAAACAAAUAAGGAAGAAAGAAUAAAUGGUCAGUUUUCAACAGGACAAGAGGUUACUACUGGAGACCCACAGGAAUCUGGACAGAAAUCCAUAUUAACACAGAAUUACUUAGGGUAGAGAAACUAAAACUUACUGUGAAGAAUUAAAAAAAAAAUAAAAAUCCCUUGAUAGCAUCUGGGUAAUAAGACAGAAGUCAAUAAAUUCUAGGUCAAUAAUACAAAUGCAUGUAGAGAAAACAAGCACAUCUAAAUGGCACUGAGCACUAAAUUAGCUAUUUCAUUUCUGGAAACAGAUCUUGGAGAGUCUGAUAAAAAUGUCAGCCCUGCUUAGCAGCAAGAAAAACAAUUAAGAAUUACUAGGAAAACACUAAACAAUUCAGAAACUGUCUGCUGACACAUAAUCUGUGGUGUACAGCAACCUGAACUCAAAACUAACAUGUAUAAGGGUAGAAAAGUAUACUGAAAGACAGAAGGAAUGGUCAGCUGCAUUGAAUAGCUUCUGAAUUUACUUAAAUCAAAUGAGACUUCCAUGUAGGUAAGAAAUAACCAAGGGCUAAUAUGUGGGAUUAUUACUUCAGGAGACACAGAUAAGGUAAAUAUGAACAAUUAUUAUUUUCUCACAACAGAAGAAUAAGUGGUACACAAGAAACUAUCUGGGAAUAUGCCAAAACAAAUAGAAGAUUUAAAUUAUUAUUUAUUUUUUUUCACAGGCUGAGUAUCCCAGCUGUGAAACUCAUUGCCAUAAGGUGUUACAAAGGCUUAAAAAUGAGUAAACUCUAAAGAGACAAAGUCUUUUCUCUAAAGAGACAAACACUGCCAGUUACUGAAUGCAGUGUCCAGAUGCAUUACCUGGGUGUAUAACAGUAGCAAAUGAUGAACCUCUCUGUAGGUGCUCUGUUUAUUUUGGCUGUCUUUGUUAACACCCACUACUGGCCACUGCCAGAGACAGAAUAUUGGCAACAGUUUUUGAUUUUACUUGUUUGGUUGGUUGCUUUGUUUUAUUUUGGUUUGUUUUCUUUUUGCUUUCUUUGCUUUUGUUUUGUCAAAUGUUUAUAGUCUUUUUGAAAGUCUAUGAGAUACAAACAAGAAGAGAGAACACAGUGCUUUUAUCUUUUCAGGGGAUACAGAGUCAACCUGAGUUAAGAAUUUCAUAUGAAAAAAUGAAAUACAUGGAUUACAUAUCAAGUGCCUGCUUCCUUGUGUUAUCCUAUCCAGCAUUAAUAUACCUGCCCAAAGCUUGCUCUGAUCAGUGCUAAAAACACUGUAAGUGGGAAGAAUCAAUAGAAAGUUUGAUUCCUGGUGGAAACUAUUAGUUACUGUAUCAAAAGUAUUACAUGAGAAGCACAGGGUGCCCUGGAGAGGAUGCUGGGAGAAGAUACCCAUCUCAGGAUGACUCCUACCACUUCUCUUCCCAAUUUUCCACUGGGGACAGCUUUCCAUUCCCUUACUGCCUCUUCUAUCUCACUUUUUCCUCUCUCUUCUUCCCCCUAUAUACAUUUCACUGUCAUUACUGAUGUGUGCUAUGGACCUCGCUAAUAAAUUUUCAUGCAUGUCAAUUUGUCUCAACAUUUUUUGUGCAACACACUGAUUCAAACACAUUGAUUUUCAGCUAUUUAAAUAAAUAGAAUAAUAAAACACAUUUUUUGGCCCAGAACUGAAAGUAAAUGGUAAGAUUCUGAGCCAGCAGGUAACAUUCAGCUGUACACAGGGGUGCCUAAAUGAAACAUGGUAGGUCAUAAGAUGUCACCUCUUGUAGCUCUGAAUCAAGUGCUCAGGGUGAGCACCAAUGAAAAAUAUCCUCUCUCAACAGCAACAAAAGAUGGGGCUCCAAUACCCCAAAAGUCAUUCACAAGUUGACAUCUGUGCAUUUCAACCUAUCCCUACAAAUCCUGCUACUCUAGCACUAAGCAGCUUUGCUGCUAUUUUCAGCUAUUCCAGAUACACAGCACAAGGGUAGCCCUCAACAACGGAAGAUGCCCAUGCUAUUUUCCUUAGUACACUUCUAAUAAUUAGGGGAAUAGUUAUCCAGUUACCUCCUAACGGAUUAACCCUGUUGCAUGAUCAACAGCUUGUCAUAGUAUUUACAGAACAUUUUAAGAACUGAAAACACAUAUUCUACCAAGCAGUUGCAGGUCUGCGGUGUCCACUAGUACUUAUCAGCAUCACCAAUAAGAACUGGAAGUUUCAGACUGUAAACUCCACCAAUCAAUGAGAGAUUUCCCACUAACUCUAAGUGGGACAAAAUCCUGUUGAUAACUUUUUUCAUGCCAUAUUAGAAGUGAAAACUGAUGUGGAACUCCUUGAAACUCCUUGUAUUCUAUGCAAGCUUUAAAAUAAAAUCAAAUCAAAUCAUUUAAAUAAAAUGGUUAAUAGUCUAUUUAUUCUUACAUACAGGCAUAGAAUUUAAACAACAGACAAGAAAUGUUGUUUAAAGACGUGAGUUUAAAUGACAUAGGUCUAGGGCUUCACAUAUUUAUCUUUCCCUUUGAAAGUGAGCAUGGCUGUUCAGCAACUGAAGUUGAGAGCUAAAAACAGAAGCUCUGAUACCUAACAAACUUUGCUCCAAAUCACUGCCAAAGAUACUAAGCAGCAGGAAGUAAGGUGCUGAAAACUACUGUCAACAAGUAAAACGAAAACUACUACUCUACACAUAUCUAUUUAGUUAUGUUAGUUUAAUUUAGGUUAACUCACUAGUUUGGAAGGAAUUGAUGCAACUUGGAAUGCAAAAUCCACACACAAAAAAGUGUUGGCAUCUGCUAGCUUACCCUACUCCCCUUGUAUUCAAUUUUAAGUAGAAGUUUGUGUUCUGGAAUUGAAACUGGAAGUCAAUGCCAAAAGCCUUAUGCUUUGGUUUCCUGUAACUCACAUUUGAUCUACUGUUUUCUCAAAAUAAACUUUCAUAAAGCAUAAUUAUGGCCUAUUAUUGCUAAAAUAGCUCAGUGAAAUUUAAGAUCCUCUUGUUUGAUGGUCUUGUUACUGGUACCAUUAGCUCCAACCAUUUAUACACACUGCCAAUUAAAAUCAAGACUCUACCUUGUCCUUCCUCUGCCCCUUUCUUGUGAAAUGCCAACCAUUCUGGAGGCUACUGGAUAUUUUCACCAAACAUUUUUAUCCCAGGUUGUCAAAUCAUUAAUGGUUACUCCCUCUCAAAUCUCAGAAGCUAUGAAUCACAAUGACAUGGGACCUUGCCCUAUUGAGUAAUAUAAAAAGAAAAUGGUAAUGGCUAUAAAGAAAUGAAUUAAUAGCAAACAUUUGUGUGCUGCCUAUGAUGCCAAGGUAGACUUCUGAAGCCCUUGCCUCACCAUUCUAGUCUGUAAUUUAUUUCAGAGAAGAAGGGUCCAUUCUCAUUUAUUCUAGUGCUUUCAGAUGCUUCUCUGGAAGGACAUUUGAGGCAUACUCACAACUUUUACUGUAACCUGAAACAAAACUGUGGCCUCAGUGCAAGAGUAUUACUACUAUUUAACACUGAAACUUAAGAAUACAGCCCUGACUGG